rnacentral:rRNA from 1 species
GACGAACGCUGGCGGCGUGCUUAACACAUGCAAGUCGAACGGAAAGGCCCUGCUUUUGUGGGGUGCUCGAGUGGCGAACGGGUGAGUAACACGUGAGUAACCUGCCCUUGACUUUGGGAUAACUUCAGGAAACUGGGGCUAAUACCGGAUAGGAUCUCCUGCUGCAUGGUGGGGGUUGGAAAGUUUCGGCGGUUGGGGAUGGACUCGCGGCUUAUCAGCUUGUUGGUGGGGUAGUGGCUUACCAAGGCUUUGACGGGUAGCCGGCCUGGGAGGGUGACCGGCCACCUUGCGCCUGAGAUACGGCGCAGACUCCUACGGGAGGCAGCAGUGGGGAAUAUUGCACAAUGGGAGGAAGCCUGAUGAAGCAACGCUGCGUGUGGGAUGACGGCCUUCGGGUUGUAAACCGCUUUCGCCUGUGACGACGCGUGAGUGACGGUAAUGGGUAAAGAAGCACCGGCUAACUACGUG